rnacentral:rRNA from 1 species
GACGAACGCUGGCGGCGUGCCUAACACAUGCAAGUUGAGCGACGAACCAGGGCUUGCCCUGGGGCAAAGCAGCGAACGGGUGAGUAACACGUGGGUAACCUACCCCGAUAACCGGGACAACCCGAGGAAACUCGGGCUAAUACCGGAUGUGCUCACUGGACUUCGGUUCAGAGCGUAAAGGAAGCUUCGGCCUCCGUAUCGGGAGGGGCCCGCGGCCCAUUAGUUUGUUGGUGAGGUAACGGCUCACCAAGACCGCGAUGGGUAGCUGGUCUGAGAGGACGAUCAGCCACACUGGGACUGAGACACGGCCCAGACUCCUACGGGAGGCAGCAGUGGGGAAUCUUGCGCAAUGCGCGAAAGCGUGACGCAGCAACGCCGCGUGGGGGAAGAAGGCCUUCGGGUUGUAAACCCCUUUCAGGAGGGACGAAGGUUCGGCGGUGAAUAGCCGUCCGGACUGACGGUACCUCCACAAGAAGCCCCGGCUAACUACGUG